rnacentral:tRNA from 1 species
GGGAGGAUGCCCGAGUGGCUAAAGGGGGCGGGCUGUAAACCCGCUGGCUAUGCCUACGCAGGUUCGAAUCCUGCUCCUCCCA